rnacentral:rRNA from 1 species
UACGGAGGGUGCAAGCGUUAUCCGGAUUUACUGGGUUUAAAGGGUGCGUAGGUGGGCGAGCAAGUCAGUGGUGAAAUCUCCGGGCUUAACCCGGAAACUGCCAUUGAUACUAUUUGUCUUGAAUACUUUGGAGGUAAGCGGAAUAUGUCAUGUAGCGGUGAAAUGCUUAGAUAUGACCCAGAACACCAAUUGCGAAGGCAGCUCGCUAAGCCAUAACUGACGCUGAUGCACGAAAGCGUGGGGAGCAAACAGG